rnacentral:rRNA from 1 species
UUGAGCUUGAUCCUGGCUCAGAUUGAACGCUGGCGGCAGGCCUAACACAUGCAAGUCGAGCGGCAGCACGAGAAAGCUUGCUUUCUUGGUGGCGAGCGGCGGACGGGUGAGUAAUACAUGGGAAUCUGCCCGAUAGUGGGGGACAACGUUUCGAAAGGAACGCUAAUACCGCAUACGUCCUACGGGAGAAAGCAGGCUUAGGCUUGCGCUAUCGGAUGAGCCCAUGUCGGAUUAGCUUGUUGGUGAGGUAAUGGCUCACCAAGGCGACGAUCCGUAACUGGUCUGAGAGGAUGAUCAGUCACACCGGAACUGAGACACGGUCCGGACUCCUACGGGAGGCAGCAGUGGGGAAUAUUGGACAAUGGGGGCAACCCUGAUCCAGCCAUGCCGCGUGUGUGAAGAAGGCCUUCGGGUUGUAAAGCACUUUCAGCGAGGAGGAAAGCAGUAAGGUUAAUACCCUUAUUGUGUGACGUACUCGCAG